rnacentral:rRNA from 1 species
UACAGAGGUGGCAAGCGUUGUUCGGAAUUACUGGGCGUAAAGGGCGCGUAGGCGGUCUUUUAAGUUCCGUGUGAAAUCCCUCGGCUCAACUGGGGAACUGCACGGGAAACUGGAGGGCUUGAGUUCGGGAGAGGGAAGCGGAAUUCCGGGUGUAGCGGUGAAAUGCGUAGAUAUCCGGAGGAACACCGGUGGCGAAGGCGGCUUCCUGGACCGACACUGACGCUGAGGCGCGAAAGCUAGGGGAGCAAACGGG